AAAGAGCAGAGAAUCGCCAAGAAAUCAGGGUGCUCAGCCAUCUGCAGGUGUGGACCCAGGGCCCAAGCCUGUGGCUUCCAGUCAGUCCAGCCCGCACCUCUCCCAUGGGAGGGCCUGAGAGUGUGGGAACAUCCUGGGCCCCUGGGAUCUCAGAGGCUGGACCUUCCUGGAGACUCAGUGAGGAAGUCCCACCUGGCCAUCGUGCAGAAGGUAAACAACGAGGGUGAGGGUGACCCCUUCUACGAGGUCCUGGGCCUGGUCACCCUGGAGGACGUGAUCGAGGAGAUCAUCAAGUCGGAGAUCCUGGACGAGUCCGACAUGUACACUGACAACCGAAGCCGGAAGCGGGUGUCUGAGAAGAACAAGCGUGACUUCUCUGCCUUCAAGGAUGCGGACAAUGAGCUCAAAGUGAAAAUCUCCCCGCAGCUCCUCCUGGCCGCUCAUCGCUUCCUAGCCACGGAGGUCCCCCAGUUUAGCCCCUCCCUGAUAUCAGAGAAGAUCCUGCUGCGGCUACUCAAGUACCCAGAUGUCAUUCAGGAACUCAAGUUUGACGAGCACAAUAAGUACUACGCCCGCCAUUACCUGUAC
rnacentral:sRNA from 1 species